UGGAUCACCUCCUAACAGGGAGACAACAAAAUGUAAAUAUUAAUUUUGUCACCUUAGGUCGAUCGGUAUCUCAGAUUCUUAUUUUUUAAGAAUUUCAGUUUCUAAGUUUUUUCUAGGUCACACCCAUCACUUUUUCCUGGGCCAUUAGCUCAGGUGGUUAGAGCGCACCCCUGAUAAGUGUGAGGUCCCUGGUUCAAGUCCAGGAUGGCCCAUAUCUCUAUGUUGGGGGUAUAGCUCAGUUGGUAGAGCGCCUGCUUUGCAAGCAGGAUGUCAGCGGUUCGAGUCCGCUUACCUCCACUGAAUACCACCUCUUACAUAUUUAAAGAGGGAAAUUGUUUUGAGUCGUGUCCUAAUUUGCUCUGAGCGAAUCUAGCUUCCUAUUUUAUUCAAAAAUAAGAUGCUGGACUCAUUGAAUUUUUUUCAUUGUUUUCAGAGAACCUUGACAACUGCAUAGAUUAUUCUUGAAGACAAUAAGCAUCUUUUAAUGAUGCAGAUUUAUUAUUUGUGCGAAUGCAUUAAAUAACAAUUCUAUUAAGCUGAUGCUUCAAUUAUUGAAGUUAUUGGUCAAGCUACAAAGGGCUCACGGAGGAUACCUAGGCACACAGAGGCGAUGAA
rnacentral:tRNA from 1 species